rnacentral:lncRNA from 1 species
AGCAGGUUCGACUUUCCUAAAUACAAUAAGGCAUGCUCUGCCUCCACCCUUUCAUCUGUAAGUUUUUCUUUAUAGCAAAAUAUUGUUCCUCCUCAUUACUAUCUGCUGUCAAAACUACUAGUGGACUAGAAUUUAGAGAGCUAUGAAAAAUCAAAGCUUUACUUUGCCACUUUGCUGAUAUGUAACUUCUUUUCUCCUCUGGAACAAAUAGAUCUUUAUCAACUCUAUCUCCUUAUUUUAAACUACUUCCCUCUUGCUAUUUUGGGCUAUAACUCUUACUGCUUCCUUGUUUCUUUGAACUAUUUUCUCCUUGUUGCUUUGGACUAUUAAUAUUACUACUUUCUUGUUUCUUUGAUGUGCUGCUUAUCUACUUUAUUUUAGAUGUUUUCACCUGGUUUUCUACCAAAGUAAAAGUAUUUUUCACCCAUUCGUUUGUAUUAAUAACCUUCUCUUUUUCUUUUCCUUCAUCUUUGUUCUUCAUUCCUUCAUCAUGUGUUCCCCUCUUUAAUAUUUCAAAAGGGUUAACAGAAGUAAGCUCAUCAGUUUUCCAAAUGUUCUCAUUUAAUAGAUAGUCUGAAUCCUUAAUUUUUACAAAUCUCCUAUUAGUUGGAUACCACCUUCUGUAUCCUUUCCCAUCU